rnacentral:rRNA from 1 species
GACGAACGCUGGCGGCGUGCUUAACACAUGCAAGUCGAACGGAAAGGCCCUGCCUGCAGGGUACUCGAGUGGCGAACGGGUGAGUAACACGUGGGUGAUCUGCCCUGCACUUCGGGAUAAGCCUGGGAAACUGGGUCUAAUACCGGAUAGGAGCCAUUUUUAGUGUGAUGGUUGGAAAGUUUUUUCGGUGUAGGAUGAGCUCGCGGCCUAUCAGCUUGUUGGUGGGGUAAUGGCCUACCAAGGCGGCGACGGGUAGCCGGCCUGAGAGGGUGGACGGCCACAUUGGGACUGAGAUACGGCCCAGACUCCUACGGGAGGCAGCAGUGGGGAAGAUUGCACAAGGGGCGCAAGCCUGAUGCAGCGACGCCGCGUGGGGGAUGACGGCCUUCGGGUUGUAAACUCCUUUCGCUAGGGACGAAGCUUUUUGUGACGGUACCUAGAUAAGAAGCACCGGCUAACUACGUG